GAGCUCCGGCACCCCGCUCGCCGGCCUCCUCGGAUUGUCGCCCGACGACAUGGACGCGGCCGUGAGCGCCGGAUGAGGCGCGCACAACCUGCAGGACCUCGCCACCGAAGCCCCACAUCCAGGCUGCCGUCCAAGAACACCUCUCGCCACCCAAAGGUUCUCUGGCAAGAGUGCAAACCAGCCCACGAGUUCACCGUGGCGGCGGUGUGCGAUGGCAGCGGGUGGCCUUGUAAUUCCACUCCGUAGGCUUUGGGUGCACAAGUGUAUGCUGAUCGGGACUACUAGUUCAACAAAGUAGCUAAAUCUUUUGUGAAGGCAAUGCAUUCACCUUCCAGGCUUCAAAUGAUGAAUUAAUUCUGUUUUUGUUGUUUAAAAUGCCUGUGGUGUUGCUACUGAUCUCGAAAGAUUGAUAUCUGCAUCUAAGUUAAUUGUGACUUGGAAACGGUUUCUAGCUCUAGUAUUUUCUUGUGUUGAUAAGAAAGAGAUCGAAAUUCUGACCAUUUGUAGCUCUAGCUUUAGAUUAUCCUUAAGUUUUUACCCAACUUCUUGUCUGGUCGACUUGAUGAAUGUGGAGCUUAAACCUGACUGGUAUUAAACAUGGGAAGAACCUGGAGCUCUUUGGAUCUGAUCUGGACCACUAGUUUAAUUUUGGAAUAAUUGGAUGUGGAGCUGGCAGCGGAGGCCUUCUUCUUCUUCGACUCGGUGGUUUUAGGUUCCCUGGCAAGGGUGCAAACCAGCCCGCGAGUUCACCGUGGCGGAGGUGUGCGAUGGCAGCGGGUGUC